GCAGGAGGGGUCACGCCGCAGACAUGUGAGAUUGAGUAAUUGCUAAAUUAUUUUCAGAGUGAAUAGAGCAUUUUACCUUGCCACCAGCAAUCUAUGAGAGAUCUAUUUGCUCCCCAUCUUCAUCAGCAUUUGCUUUCCUUAUUCCUGAAAAUGACCAAGCCAAGAUUUCUGGGAAGAUAUGGAGAGAAACUAUUAUGAAAUGGAAAGGGGCCUGAGCUGGGUGGAAUGAGAUCAGUGAAAAGUCCUGGGGGUACUCCACCAAAAAAACAUCAAAAGAAGAACUGAAAAUGAAAGUAAAGCC
rnacentral:lncRNA from 10 species